GUCCACGCCGUAAACGAUGGAUACUAGCUGUUGGGCGCAAGUUCAGUGGCUAAGCGAAAGUGAUAAGUAUCCCACCUGGGGAGUACGUUCGCAAGAAUGAAACUCAAAGGAAUUGACGGGGGCCCGCACAAGCGGUGGAGCAUGUGGUUUAAUUCGAUGAUACGCGAGGAACCUUACCAAGGCUUAAAUGUAGUUUGACAGAUUUGGAAACAGAUUUUUCUUCGGACAAAUUACAAGGUGCUGCAUGGUUGUCGU
rnacentral:rRNA from 1 species